rnacentral:snoRNA from 1 species
GGAAAUGAUGAUGUAAUUUGCGUCAUAGGGUGUGGUCAGUGACGGUUGCCUGCCGUCAUAUACUGCUACGCAUCUAUGAAGACAGCAUACUCAUACUGAUCC